rnacentral:rRNA from 1 species
AUUGAACGCUGGCGGCAGGCUUAACACAUGCAAGUCGAGCGGAGAUGAGGUGCUUGCACCUUAUCUUAGCGGCGGACGGGUGAGUAAUGCUUAGGAAUCUGCCAUUUAGUGGGGGACAACAGUCCGAAAGGAAUGCUAAUACCGCAUACGUCCUACGGGAGAAAGCAGGGGAUGUUCGGUACUCGGUCUAAAUUAUGAGCAUAAGUUGGAUUAGCUAGUUGGUGGGGUAAAGGCCUACCAAGGCGACGAUCUUUAGCGGGUCUGAGAGGAUGAUCCGCCACACUGGGACUGAGACACGGCCCAGACUCCUACGGGAGGCAGCAGUGGGGAAUAUUGGACAAUGGGCGGAAGCCUGAUCCAGCCAUGCCGCGUGUGUGAAGAAGGCCUUUUGGUUGUAAAGCACUUUAAGCGAGGAGGAGGCUACUAGUACUAAUACUACUGGAUAGUGGACGUUACUCGCAGAAUAAGCACCGGCUAACUCUGUGCCAGCCGCCGCGGUAAAAC